AGAUUGGUGGUUCAGUGGUAGAAUUCUCACCUUCCAAGUGAGAGACCUGUGUUCAAUUCCUAGCCAAUGGA
rnacentral:tRNA from 1 species